GACGAACGCUGGCGGCGUGCUUAACACAUGCAAGUCGAACGGAAAGGCCCUGCUUGCAGGGUGCUCGAGUGGCGAACGGGUGAGUAACACGUGGGUGAUCUGCCCCUUACUUUGGGAUAAGCCUGGGAAACUGGGUCUAAUACUGGAUAGGACCAUGCUGUAGGCGGUGUGGUGGAAAGAUUAGUUUCGGUAAGGGAUGAGCUCGCGGCCUAUCAGCUUGUUGGUGGGGUAAUGGCCUACCAAGGCGUCGACGGGUAGCCGGCCUGAGAGGGUGGACGGCCACAUUGGGACUGAGAUACGGCCCAGACUCCUACGGGAGGCAGCAGUGGGGAAGAUUGCACAAUGGGGGCAAGCCUGAUGCAGCGACGCCGCGUGGGGGAUGACGGCCUUCGGGUUGUAAACUCCUUUCAGCCAUGACGAAGCCCUUGUGGUGACGGUAGUGGUAGAAGAAGCACCGGCUAACUACGUG
rnacentral:rRNA from 1 species